rnacentral:lncRNA from 1 species
UCUGACACUGGCCCUCAGAAGGCCAUGGGCUCACCAAGGGCUGCCAGUUCGCAGAAGUCCCUCACCUUUGUUCCACACCUGCUGACUUUCUAAACUGCUGUCCUCUGGACUGUGCUAGGUACACAUGACAGCACCUUGGCAGCCAUGUCUUUCAGAGCCCCGUUAUGCAAUGCCAUGGCCCUAGAAGCAGAAGGAACCAUCAAAGAACCAGGCUAAAGGACUUUGGGACCAACAGGCAUUCAGGAAUGCACCUGGCCAGGAGCUAAGGGGCCACCAGCUGACAAGAGUUGCCACCAGACACGCCAGGUAGAAGAUGUCAGCUGGCAAUGGCCAUGCCAGCCUAAGCUACCUCUGUGGAGUGAACAAUGUAGCCCAGAAGAGCCAGCACAGAUCCCUCCCACCUAUCAGCCCUGUCUUCCCCCAUCUUGAUGCAUGUCCCAGGUAAGCAUUCCUGAUUCUGCUCACUUGGGACACAGUUCUCUACCCUGUUUGUGAUCUCAGGACCUGACACCUGUCUGCUCAAGCCAGGUUCCAUGGAGGAGCAGAACUUCAUCCUGCUCUGCAUUUAGGGCCUGCCUCGGAGACAGUAGGGGAGCUCCCAAGAACUCACAAGUUUGGAAAUUAAUAUUUCUCUUUGCAAGAUAAAAUACAGAUCAGCCCAAAGUACAUCAGACCUGAGGUCCAAUUCCAAACAGAAAGUCGGCCCUGAUAAUCCCUGGGUUAAAGGCCCAAGUGUUUGAAACUGAAUUGCACGCUCGACUAGGGAGCCCUUUCUAAGCUGGUACAACACACAGAGGCCAACAGUAAAGAAUAAUAAAUCUGGCUAUACAUUUUGUAUAGUGUGCACAUGUGCACAAACACACACACCGGACACACACACCACAAAGACCAAAGAGGAAAGGGAACACACAAUAAGUCAUUUAGAACAUAUUUGGUAAAGGGCUAAAUUCCCUUUUAUGGAAACAGCUCUUUAAAAGCCAACAGAAAAAGACAAUUUCCUCAAUCGUCCUGGCUCAAAAUGAGCCAAGAAUUCAAGCAGACAAUCUACUCAAAAGGAAUCCAUUUCCUCUCUUGGCCACACAUCAGUUGUCUGAAAACAGUUGGCCUGUGGCGAUGCCUCACUCCAACUGCCACACUGAUCCACACAUCUUGUGUCCAAAGCAGAACACAAGUGUCCAUGGGAGGUUGCACAACACAGAGCCAAGAGAUGCCUGUGUCCUCCACUGAGCAUUCCACAGGGGAAGGGGCCUGGUAAAAGGAAAAGGAUGGAGGCAGUGUUUGUUGAGCGCUGUGGCUGGAGUGCAAUGGCAUGUCUCCCAGGUUCAAGCGAUUCUCCUGCCUCAGCCUCCUGAGUAGCUGGGAUUACAGGCAUGUGCCACCAUGCCUGGCUAAUUUUGUAUUUU